UUCUGGCCGCUGUCUCUGUCACUCACUGGGCAGGCCAGGCUGGGGCAGCCAUGGCAGCAGCACCAACUUGGAUUCCUCUCCUUGUGGGUCUCCUUGCAGGACUGAGAGGGACUGAGGCCCAGCAGACCACCUUACACCCACUUGUAGGCCGUAUCUUUGUGCACCCCUUGGAACAUGCCACCUUCCUGCACCUUCCUGAGCACAUUGCGGUGCCACCCAGUGUUCGCCUCACCUACCAUGCCCACCUCCAGGGACAUCCGGACCUGCCCCGGUGGCUACGCUACACUCAGCGAGGUCCCUACAACCCUGGCUUUCUCUAUGGCACCCCAACUCCUGAUGAUCGUGGGCGCCAGGUCAUUGAGGUCACAGCCUACAAUCGAGACAGCUUUGACACCACUAGACAGAGGCUGAUUCUGCUGAUUGGUGACCCAGAAGGCCCCAGGCUGCCAUACCAAGCUGAGUUCCUGGUGCGCAGCCAUGAUGUGGAGGAAGUGCUGCCGUCCACACCUGCCAAUCGCUUCCUUUCUGCCCUGGGGGGCCUCUGGGAGCCAGGGGAGCUCCACUUGCUCAAUAUUACUUCUGCCUUGGACCGUGGAGGUCGCGUCCCUCUUCCCAUUGAGGGCCGUAAGGAAGGGGUAUACAUCAAGGUGGGCUCUGCCACACCCUUCUCCACCUGCCUGAAGAUGGUGGCAUCCCCUGACAGCCAUUCCCGCUGUGCCCGGGGCCAGUCUCCACUUCUGUCCUGCUACGACAGCUUGGCACCCCACUUCCGUGUUGACUGGUGCAAUGUGUCUCUGGUGGAUAAGUCAGUGCCAGAGCCUCUGGAUGAGGUGCCCACCCCAGGUGAUGGGAUUCUGGAGCAUGACCCAUUCUUCUGCCCACCCACGGAGGCCACAGGCCAAGACUUCCUGACAGAUGCCCUGGUCACCCUCCUGGUGCCCCUGUUGGUGGCUCUGCUGCUCACCCUGCUGCUGGCCUACAUCAUGUGCUGCCGGAGGGAAGGACGGCUGAAGAGAGACAUGGCCACCUCUGACAUCCAGAUGGUUCACCAUUGCACCAUUCAUGGGAACACGGAGGAACUUCGGCAGAUGGCAGCCAACCGUGAAGUGCCCAGGCCUCUCUCUACUCUGCCCAUGUUCAAUGUGCGCACGGGUGAGCGGCUGCCUCCCCGUGUGGACAGCGCUCAGGUGCCCCUCAUCCUGGACCAGCACUAAUAGCCCUGCCAGGACCUGACCAUGAGAGAUGAUUGGAUUAGUAGCCUCACUUUCUAGACAAGGAAACUAAGGAGAUGCUGUCUUGGCUCGUGGGUUACAAGUCUUCCUGAAAAUGGAUUCAGGAUUUUGUCUACCCAUCCCCAGAAGCCCUCGCCCCCAACCCAGCACAGCCUCUGUGUACAGAGGCAUAUGGGAAAGCUGUUUGGAGGGACUACCUGAGGGACACUGCUGUCUGUCUGUCUGAAUUUGCUCAGAAUUCUUUCUUUUUAAUUAUUAAAAAAAUUUAUGUGCA